rnacentral:rRNA from 1 species
UACGGAGGAUGCGAGCGUUAUCCGGAUUUAUUGGGUUUAAAGGGUUCGUAGGCGGCUUUAUAAGUCAGCGGUGAAAUACCAGAGCUUAACUCUGGGGCUGCCGUUGAUACUGUUAAGCUUGAGUAGGAUCGACGAUGGCGGAAUGAGACAAGUAGCGGUGAAAUGCAUAGAUAUGUCUCAGAACACCGAUAGCGUAGGCAGCUGUCGAGGUCAUCUACUGACGCUGAGGAACGAAAGCGUGGGGAUCAAACAGG